UUUAAUUCGAAGCAACGCGAAGAACCUUUACCAGGUCUUGACAUCCCGAUGCUAUUUCUAGAGAUAGAAAGUUACUUCGGCACAUCGGUGACAGGUGGUGCAUGGUUGUCGUCAGCUCGUGUCGUGAGAUGUUGGGUUAAGUCCCGCAACGAGCGCAACCCCUAUUGUUAGUUGCCAUCAUUCAGUUUGGGCACUCUAGCGAGACUGCCGGUAAUAACCGGAGGAAGUGGGAUGACGUCAAAUCAUCAUGCCCCUUAUGACCUGGGCUACACACGUGCUACAAUGGUUGGUACAACGAGUUGCGAGUCGGUGACGGCGAGCUAAUCUCUUAAAGCCAAUCUCAGUUCGGAUUGUAGGCUGCAACUCGCCUACAUGAAGUCGGAAUCGCUAGUAAUCGCGGAUCAGCACGCCGCGGUGAAUACGUUCCCGGGUCUU
rnacentral:rRNA from 1 species